rnacentral:pre_miRNA from 1 species
UAGUAGGACAGCUGGUCUUUAAGUAGGGAUAAAUUAGUCUAAAAAAAAAGGAAUCCUAGAUAGUUUUUCCUUCAAGUCAAGAAGCUUGU